AGUGCCUUUGCUCAGGGCGCCCCUAAGGAAAACGACAGGAAAAGUAUAUAUAAAAAAAUGUAUCCCAAAACAGGUUCAGAUGGUAGGACAAAAAAAAAUUGUAAAACAUGCAAACUGUACGGAAGCUACUAUGGGUCCCAUGACGCCCUUAAGGAUUCCUCUUAUCACUCGUCGACGCUUCCUUCCCCUUACCUUAACCUAGGCCCAAUCGCUAAACAAAUCAGCAGUCCUUGCAAAAUUCGGAUUGCUA
rnacentral:misc_RNA from 1 species